AGCGAACGUUAGCGGCGCGCCUAACACAUGCAAGUCGCACGAGAGGGGGCAACCCUGAAAGUGGCGCACGGGUGCGUAACACGUAGAUAACCUGCCCUUCGAAGGGGGAUAACGUUCCGAAAGGAGCGCUAAUACCGCAUACAGCUGUUUCUGGUUCGCUAGAGACGGGCAAAGGCUGGGACGAGCAAUCGCCAGUCGUCGAAGGAGGGGUCUGCGGCCCAUCAGCUAGUUGGUGAGGUAAUGGCUCACCAAGGCAGAGACGGGUAGCUGGUCUGAGAGGAUGAUCAGCCACACUGGUACUGGAACACGGACCAGACUCCUACGGGAGGCAGCAGUGGGGAAUCUUGGUCAAUGGGCGCAAGCCUGAACCAGCGACGCCGCGUGA
rnacentral:rRNA from 1 species